AAGAUGCAGCUCAAGGCGGCCGAGAAGUAGUAGCCCUCCAGCUGCGCCAUCCCGCGCGGCCGCGGACCGGGCCCAGCCCCGGGCAGACGCGCGCUCAAAAAGCAGCGCGCAAGGCUCCGGCGGCGGCGGCGCCCGGACGAGUCUAUAAGCAGACCAGAAAUUUUGGAAGCAGGAGAAAGAUUGGACAGUCUGACAGAGAGGCAAGUUUGCAUGGAUGUGAUUGGCAGCCUGCCCCUGGGGAUGAAUAGAGAACACUGGAUAUUUUCCUGGACCCAUCAGUCACAUGAAGUAAAAUCCUUAUCUCUGGGGAAGUGGACAAUUUUGAUGGCAAUUAUAAUGAUUCUGAAAAGCCAUGCAAAUGUUUGGGUAGUGAUUGGACAAUAUCGCUGCUGUGUGAAGUACCAGUAUCCUAACAGGAACAGGAGUUGCUUGUUUCUGGGCUGGAAAGCCUUCACAACAUGAGGAGCCAAGCUCUAACAUCAGUGGGGGGAUAUUAUGAAGUCUAUCUGCUUGCUUCUUUUAUACUCCUACAUGUUUUUGCGUGUAUGUAUUUGAAAACAUCGCCCAAGAAGUUUACAAAAAAAAUAAAAAAGGAUUUCACUAAAUAUUGAAAAAGAAUAAUUCACACAUCAUUAUUCAAGAAUGAAAGCGAGACAUGUUGAUUUUCAAACAUGAUAGUUAUUACAGGUUCUAUGUUGUCAUCUAAAAUGCUCUAAGUGGCUCCAGAUUGGCAGGAUGUUUCAAAAUAAUGAUUUUAUUUAAAUGCAAGAGAAUUUCAGCCAGUUGUCAGUUUCUGACUGAAAAGUCCAGCUGCUAUCUGUCUUCUGACAUCUCACCUGUACAGUUCUCAUCA